GUGGAUUCAGGUCCUGACUUAAGUACUGUGUGGAUUCAGGUCCUGACUUAAGUACUGUGUGGAUUCAGGUCCUGACUUAAGUACUGUGUGGAUUCAGGUCCUGACUUAAGUACUGUGUGGAUUCAGGUCCUGACUUAAGUACUGUGUGGAUUCAGGUCCUGACUUAAGUACUGUGUGGAUUCAGGUCCUGACUUAAGUACUGUGUGGAUUCAGGUCCUGACUUAAGUACUGUGUGGAUUCAGGUCCUGACUUAAGUACUGUGUGGAUUCAGGUCCUGACUUAAGUACUGUGUGGAUUCAGGUCCUGACUUAAGUACUGUGUGGAUUCAGGUCCUGACUUAAGUACUGUGUGGAUUCAGGUCCUGACUUAAGUACUGUGUGGAUUCAGGUCCUGACUUAAGUACUGUGUGGAUUCAGGUCCUGACUUAAGUACUGUGUGGAUUCAGGUCCUGACUUAAGUACUGUGUGGAUUCAGGUCCUGACUUAAGUACUGUGUGGAUUCAGGUCCUGACUUAAGUACUGUGUGGAUUCAGGUCCUGACUUAAGUACUGUGUGGAUUCAGGUCCUGACUUAAGUACUGUGUGGAUUCAGGUCCUGACUUAAGUACUGUGUGGAUUCAGGUCCAGACUUAAGUACUGUGUGGAUUCAGGUCCUGACUUAAGUACUGUGUGGAUUCAGUUACUGAGCAAGACUAGAUGCAUUAUUGAAUUUAAUGUUGAAAGUUGUAAGUGAUUUUUCUACAAAGGAAUAUGUUAUGGUUAAUGCAAGCUGUGGAAGUUAGCUUUGACUAUUUUUUGUUUGGAAGCAAAUAAAAUUUCCUAGAUACUAGUAAUAUUAUUGCAAACUAACAAAAUGUAAGUUCUCAAGAUAUUCAGAAGCUUUCUUUUACCAGUCCGAUGAUAUUUCUAAAUAUCGGAUUGUUCAACAAAUUUAAGCCUAAAUCGUUAUUGACCAAGUAAUACAAAAUUAUAUAUAUUUGUUUUUCGCUAUAAAAUAUUCAGAAAUAUUUAAACUCAAACUAAACAAUGCACAAAAAAGUGAAGCAUAAAAGUCAAAUUUUCCAGACAGGAUUAAAGUUUUGUUUUGUGAUGUUUAGAAUUUGAGACUUCCGUUAUGUCUGUUAUGUGUGCUUUAUAAAUAUAUAUAGCUAGGUGUGUCAUAUUAUUAUCCCCCGCCAUACACAGAGGAAUGUUGUUUUGGCGUUGUCCGUCCGUCCGUCUUUCCGUCCGUCCGUCUUUCCGUCCGUCCGGCACUUUUGUGUCCGGAGCCAUAUCUAGGAAGUGCUUUGGCGGAUUUCAUUGAAACUUGAUGUGAGUAUAUAUAUGGAUAAGAGGCUGAUGCACGCCGAAUGGCAUUGUACACCAUCUGUUAAUAACGGAGUUAUGGCCCUUUGUAUCUUGAAAAAAGGCUUUUUGUGUGUCCGGAGCCAUAUCUUGGAAGUGCUUUGUCGGAUUUCAUUGAAACUUGGUAUGAGUAUAUAUAUGGAUAAGAGGAUGAUGCACGCUGAAUGGCAUUGUACACCAUUGGAUAAUAACGGAGUUAUGGCCUUUUGUAUCUUCUUGUUGUGUGUGUUCGGAGCCAUAUCUUUGAAGUGCUUUGACGGAUUUCAUUGAAACUUGGUAUGAGUAUGUAAAUGGAUAAGAGGAUGAUGCAUGCUGGCGUUGUCCAACCGUCCAGAAAUAUUUGUGUCCAGAAGUAUAUUGGCGGGGGAUAUCAAUUCAACUAAUUUCAUUGUUUUUUUAAUUUUUUUCUGUCUGAUUUUAAUUUUUGAUUGUCAUAGGCAAACCCCUUUUUGUAGUUUUUUUUUUCAAUUUAUUGCCCCCCCCCAAUCAUUUUUUCCCUGCAGGAAU